GACGAACGCUGGCGGCGUGCUUAACACAUGCAAGUCGAGCGGUAAGGCCCUUUCGGGGGUACACGAGCGGCGAACGGGUGAGUAACACGUGGGUGACCUGCCCUCAGCUCUGGGAUAAGCCUGGGAAACCGGGUCUAAUACUGGAUAUGACUCCAUGACGCAUGUUGUGGGGUGGAAAGCCUUGUGCGGCUGAGGAUGGGCCCGCGGCCUAUCAGCUUGUUGGUGGGGUGAGGCCUACCAAGGCGACGACGGGUAGCCGGCCUGAGAGGGCGACCGGCACACUGGGACUGAGACACGGCCCAGACUCCUACGGGAGGCAGCAGUGGGGAAUCUUGCGCAAUGGGCGAAAGCCUGACGCAGCGACGCCGCGUGAGGGAUGACGGCCU
rnacentral:rRNA from 1 species